AGCAGAAUCGCAACAUGGCGGGAGGGGUCAUGGCAUCAGAUGGUGCGUGGGGCGCGGCCGAGCGAGUUCAGGAGCAGUGAGGCGUGGCUGGGUGUGCGCGCACGCGUCUGUGGAAAGGGGCCAGCCACUGCCUCUUCUCCUCAAGGAGCCCUCGAAUGUGUACUGAAGGUCCCCUGGCCAUCAAUCUCUUGCAGCGAAGCUCCCACCUCUCCUUCCGGUUCUCGCCAUCAAGGUGUGUUAUGGAAGAAGAAUACGAGGUUCUGCAGAAAGAUUGGUCCCAGACCUUGAAGUUCUAGCAGGUUCAAGGAGAGCAUCUGAUGGUUCUUCUUGCAAUUCCACUUUUGUCUCAGUCGUAAAAGUCAGGUGUAUCAUGCUUGGUUGUAUUUUCAGUAUAUGAUUUCCUUGCGUAAUGCUGAGUUUCACAUCUAAAGGGGGUUUAAAUUGUAGGUUUUUUGUAUAUCUUAAUUCAGCUGUAGCUUACCGAUGAUGGUGAUGGGUGCACAAAGACCACAGAGGCAAAGUCACAGAGGUGGGAGGAUUGGUGCAGAUGGCAAUGGCAAGAAGCUGACCCGAUCAAGCACCUCCAACAACUGCUCGACGCCCCCUGCCAGGUUUCAGUCUGCCCAAUGAGUUGAAUUGUACCUUGAUCGGCCCAUGGAUGAGCAAGCAAGCAGGCUAUAUGUACAGCUAAAAGCUGUGUGGGUGCUGGAGGGAAGGUGUACCUGUGCCUGGCAGUGCGAACGACGACUCACUAACCUCCGCUAGACUUUGAGCGCAGCCUGCAGAAUCACAGUUAUAUCCUGCUUCUUAUAAGCAUUGCUAUCAAUGGUGAGGUGGAGUCAAAGUACUUGGUGGACGUGUGGUCAAGGAACCACCCCUGCUACAUUGGCGAGUGGGGGCUCCUCAACGUUGGCCGUCAUUUGCAGUAUCUCCUUCUGUAGCAGCGAUGACGAUGACAAGCUGGACAAGCCCAUAACAGAAGCCAUGGACGAGCUGUGCGGAGAAGCUCCUCUAGAAAAGCCUGUUGUCAAUGGCAUCAACACAAGGUUCGCCCUCUGCUCCUCUAUGUCAGAUCAACGGCCUCACCGGCACCGACGGUGGGAUCAUAGAGCAGCUCCUCACCUCAGUGCAAGCAACUGUCCCAACUCCCAAGGAUACCGCAAAAGGUAACAUUUGAUCGCAUUGCAUGUUAGAGGGCGCGAGCGGGCGGCCUCGCCCAGCUCCUCAGUUGUUCUUUAUGUUCUUCUCUGUUCGAGCAGAUCAACAGCUUCACCGGCACCGACGGUGGGAUCGUAGAGCAGCUCCUGACCUCAGUGCAAGCAACUGUCCCGAGGAUAACGCAAAAGGUAACAUUUGAUCGCAUUCAUGUUAGAGGGCGUGAGCGAAGAAUCCGGGACUGUCUAAUAAUUUAUUUGAUGCUACGCAUUUGUGCUCUCUACAAAGCUCAAGGAUAUCCAGCUCGGAAGCUGUGUUCAGUUCAGUGUCAACAGUGCAAAUGUCAGCACCAAAGUGAGAGAUUCAGAUGAUCGUCAAAAUUAUGAGGUGGAAGCAAAUUGAAUGAACGCCCUGUAGUUUUGAAGCAGGCCUGCACGGCAGCGAGCUCCGCGUCGUGUCACAAGAAAUACCAAGGAUAUUUGCUUGGAAGUCUGAAACUCUAGUAAGCUUAUGAAUGUGGUGUCUACAUGGAACUGGAUUCAACAAGUGUACAUGUUGUGGCCUCAGCAACUUGAACAUAUGACACUGUUUACAUUGGCAUGUUUUGCAAUAGACUAGAAGAUGCAAACUGCUUUAUUCUAGCAUUGCCUCAUGUAAUAGCCUAUGUUCAAGGACAAACAGUUAUGCAGACCUAAAGGAUAGCACAAUAUCUCAAAA